UCGGACGCGGCUUGGCGGGACCGGAGGCAUUCCGCUUGGGACGGGAGGUGCCGGAAGUCGUCGGUUUGCCGGAUCCCGGCCGGCCUCCGUC
rnacentral:tRNA from 1 species